rnacentral:rRNA from 1 species
UACGUAGGGGGCAAGCGUUGUCCGGAUUUAUUGGGCGUAAAGAGCGUGUAGGCGGCCAGGUAGGUCUGCUGUGAAAACUCGAGGCUUAACCUCGAGAUGUCGGCGGAAACCAUCUGGCUAGAGUCCGGAAGAGGAGAGUGGAAUUCCUGGUGUAGCGGUGAAAUGCGCAGAUAUCAGGAAGAACACCCGUGGCGAGGCGGCUCUCUGGGACGGUACUGACGCUGAGACGCGAAAGCGUGGGGAGCGAACAGG